GAGAGGCUUGAUUGAGAACCUACCCGACUAUCAGAGGACCUGUCCGGGAAGAGAAAUGGGGCUACGUCCAGGUAAUGCUACGAUGCUUAACGUCCCGAUGACGUCAUAGGUCAGCGCGCGCUGCCCUGGUCGCCCCCCAAGCCCAUAAAUGACCAUUUCCGGGGACCUCAGCGCUGGGUCCCCUUUCUCGGUUGCAGUCUCCAUCUCUAUAUUGGGACUCACUGGGUUAUCCUUCUGUGCCUCAGUUUCCUCCUCUGUAAACUGAAGAAACCCGUCUCAUGGAAUCUUUUGAAAAUAACCAGAUCAGCCAGGCGCGGUGGCUCACGCCUGUAAUUCCAGGACUUUGGGAGGCCGAGGCUGGCGGAUCACGAGGUCAGGAGUUCGAGACCAGCCUGACCAACAUGGUGAAACCCCGUUUCUACUAAAAAUACAAAAAUUAGUCGGGCGUGGUCGCUGGUGCCUGUAAACCCAGCUACUCAGGAGGUUGAGGCAGGAGAAUCGCUUGAACCUGGGAGGUGGAGGUUGCAGUGAGCCGAGAUUGCACCAAGUGUGAAUCAACCGUCCACUUUCUGCUAUUCUUUGUUAAAUAAAUACUUUUAAAUCCUUACUGGAUACCAAUGCUCUCCAACAGGACCUCCUACCACUACCCCUCUUUUGUCCUAUAUUUUGCCACAUAGGUAAAAUAUAAAAAUAGGUAAUAUAGAAAAUAAAACACAUACUGCUGUAUUGUCAGGUAGUGAUAGGAUUUAUCACUACCUGACAAUACAGUAUGUGUUUGUUUUAUAUAUUUAGGGUGUACAGCGUGUGUUUUGAUACACAUGUACCCAGUGAAAUAAUAAUUAUGACAGUUUUUUUUUUUUUUUUUGAGACGGAGUUUUGCUGUCGUUGCCCAGGCUGAAGUGCAAUGGUGUGCUCUCGGCUCACUGCAGCCUCUGCCUCCCGGGUUCAAGCGAUUCUCAUGCCUCAGCCUCCCGAAUAGCUGGGAUUACAGGCAUGCACCACCAUGCUUGGCUAAUUUUUUUGUAUUUUUAGUAGAGACGGGGUUUCUCCAUGUUGGUCAGGCUGAUCUCGAACUCCUGACCUCAGGUGAUUCGCCCACCUUGGCCUCCCAAAGUGCUGGGAUUACAGGCAUUUUCACCACACAUGGCCAAUUAUGAGAGUUAAGCAAUUAACCUAUCCAUUGCCUUCCAUAAUUAACUGUGUGUGUAGUGAGAGUAUCUAAAAUGUACUUUCUUGGCAAAUUUUCAAUAUACUAUGCAAAAUUAUUAACACAAAGUAUACGUUACUUUUUGUUUGUUUGUUUUGGCUGGCUGCGGUGGCUUAUGCCUAAAAACAUGCCCUUUGAGGAGGCUGAGGUGGGAGGAUCACUUGAGGCCAGGAGCUAGAGACCAGCCUAGGCAACAUGUCAAAACCCAGUCUCUCAAAAAAAAAAAAAAAAAAAGAAAAAAAGGAAAAAAAAGAGAAAAGGAAAAAAAAGAAAAGAACAACAACAAAAAUUAGCCAGAUGUGGUGCAUCAUGCCAGGGUCCCAGAUACUUGGGAGGCCAAGGCGGGAGGAUCAUUCGAGCCUGGGAAAUCGAGGCUGCAGUGAGCCAUGAUCACCCCACUGCACUCCAGCUUGGGUAACAGAGCAAGACCCUGUCUCAAAAAAAAAAAAGCCUUGCUUUCCUGACCCAUUGAUCUGUUUGUUUUUUGUCCUCUGUCAGCAGCAUAUCAGCCUGAUGACAUCAGGGACUGUAUCUGUCCCCAUCAUUGCUACAGAAUCUCGCUCUGUUGCCUGGGCUGGAGUGCAGUGGCACUGUAUCCGGAAUUGGGGGGUUCUUGGUCUCACUGACUUCAAGAAUGAAGCCAUGGACCCUUGCGGUAAGUGUUCCAGCUCUUAAGGUGGCGCGUCUGGAGUUUGUUUCUUCUGAUGUUCAGGUGUGUUCAGCGUUUCUUCCUUCUGGUGGGUUCAUGGUUUCACUGGCUCAGGAGUGAAGCUGCAGACCUUCGCAGUGAGUGUUACAGCUCAUAAAAGCAGUGGGGACCCAAAGAGUGAGCAGUACAAGAUUUAUUGCAAAGAGCAAAAGAACAAAGCUUCCACAGUGUGGAAGGGGACCCAAGUGGGUUGCCACUGCUGGCUCGGGCAGCCUGCUUUUAUUCUCUUAUCUGGCCCCACCCACAUCCUGCUGAUUGGUAGAGCCCACUGGUCUGUUUUGACAGGGCGCUGAUUGGUGCGUUUACAAUUCCUGAGCUAGACACAAAGGUUCUCCACAUCCCCACCAGAUUAACUAGAUACAGAGUGUCAACACAAAGGUUCUCCAAGGCCCCACCACAGUAGCUAGAUACAGAGUGUCGAUUGGUGCAUUCACAAACCCUGAGCUAGACACAGGGUGCUGAUUGGUGUGUUUACAAACCUUGAGCUAGAUACAGAGUGCCGAUUGGUGUAUUUACAAUCCCUGAGCUAGACAUAAAGGUUCUCCAAGGCCCCACCAGAGUAGCUAGAUACAGAGUGUUCAUUGGUGCAUUCACAAACCCUGAGCUAGACAUAGGGUGAUGAUUGGUGUAUUUACAAUCCCUGAGCUAGACAAAGGUUCUCCACGUCCCCACCAGACUCAGGAGCCCAGCUAGCUUCACCCAGUGGAUCCUGCACCGGGGCUGCAGGUGGAGCUGCCUGCCAGUCCCACGCCGUGCGCCUGCACUCCUCAGCCCUUGGGUGGUGGAUGGGACUGGGCACCAUGGAGCAUGGGGCAGUGCUCGUCAGGGAGGCGCGGGCCGCACAGGAGCCCAUGGAGGGGGUGGGAGGCUCAGGCAUGGCGGGCUGCAGGUCCCGAUCCCUGCCCCGCGGGAAGGCAGCUAAGGCCUGGUGAGAAAUCAAGCGCAGCGCCGGUGCGCUGGCACUGCUGGGGGACCCAGUACACCCUCCGCAGCCGCUGUCCGGCCCGGGUGCUAAGCCCCUCAUUGCCCGGGGCCAGCAGGGCCGGACGGCUGCUCUGAGUGCAGGGUCCGCCAAGCCCACGCCCACCCGGAACUCCAGCUGGCCCACAAGCACCGCGCGCAGCCCCGAUUCCGGCUCGCGCCUCUCCCUCCACACUUCCCUGCAAGCUGAGGGAGCCAGCUCCGGCCUUGGCCAGCCCAGAAAGGGGCUCCCACAGUGCAGCGGUGGGCUGAAGGGCUCCUGAAGUGCCGCCACAGUGGGAGCCCAGGCAGAGGAGUCGCAGAGAGUGAGCGAGGGCUGUGAGGACUGCCAGCACGCUGUCACCUCUCAGCGCCAUCUCGGCUCACUGCAACCUCCACCUCCUGGGUUCAAGCAAUUCUCCGGCCUCAGCCUCCUGAGUAGCUGGGAUUAUAGGUGCGCAUCACUAUGCCCAGCUAAUUUUUGUAUUUUUAGUAGAAAUGAGGUUUCACCACAUUGGCCAGGCCAGACCAGCCUGGACAAUAGAGUGAGACCCUAUAUAGGGAUCUCACUAUAUAGAGCAAUACAGCGGGAUCACCCGACCUCGGGUGAUCCGCUCGUUGGCCUCCCAAAGUGCUAGUGUUACAAGUGUGAGCCAAUGCGCCCAGCCCUAUUCUUUUUUUUUUUUUUUUUUUUUUUGAAAUCAAGUCUUGCUCUGUCACCCAGGCUGGAGUGCAGUGGCAUGAUCUCUGCUCACCGCAACCUCCACCUCCCGAGUUCAAGUGAUUCUCCUGCCUCAGCCUCCUGAGUAGCUGGGAUUACAGGCACCCGCCACCACACCCGGCUAAUUUUUGUAUUUUUAGUAGAGACGGGGUUUCACCAUGUUGGUCAGGCGGGCCUGGAACUCGUAAUGUCAGAUGAUCCACCUGCCUCGGCCUCCUAAAGUGCUGGGAUUACAGGCAUGAGCGACCACGCCAUCUUUUUUUUUUUUUUUUAACAAAACACAGAUGUAGAAUUAGAGCCUUCAGGGGUGGGUGCAGUGGCGCUCACACCUUUAAUCCCAUCACUUUGUGAAGCCAAGGCAGGAGGAUCCCUUGAGUCUCGGUGUUUGAGACCAGCCUGGACAAUAGAAUGAGACCCUGCCUCUACGAAAAAAAAAUUAUUUUUGUUUUGAGAUGGAGUCUUGCUCUGUUGCCCAGGCUGGAGUGCAGUGGCGCAAUCUCGGCUUAUUUGCAGCCUCUGCCUCCUUGGCUCAAGUGAUUCUUCUGCGUCAGCCUCUAGAGUAGCUGGGACUACAGACGUGCACCACCAUGCUCGGCUAAUUUUUGUAUUUUUUUGUAGAGAUGGGGGUUCCACCAUGUUGGCCCGGCUGGUCUCGAACUGCUGACCUCAAGUGACCUGCCUGUCUCGGCCUCACAAAUGGCUGGGAUUACAGGCACGAGACACCGUGCCUGGCCCUGGGAACAUGUUUACAUGGACUUUGUUCACUUUUUAAAACAAACUGAGGGUAACUUACUAGAUCUGUGAACUAAAGAAAGAGAAAAAAAAGAAAGAAAACAAACAAGAACAAAGAACAAAGUGUUCUGAGGUUGCUUUUAUUCCAAGAACUCUGUGAGCUCCCACCAGCACCAUGAGGGCGCUCUCG
rnacentral:lncRNA from 1 species